rnacentral:rRNA from 1 species
GAUGAACGCUGGCGGCGUGCCUAAUACAUGCAAGUCGAGCGAAUGGAUUAAGAGCUUGCUCUUAUGAAGUUAGCGGCGGACGGGUGAGUAACACGUGGGUAACCUGCCCAUAAGACUGGGAUAACUCCGGGAAACCGGGGCUAAUACCGGAUAACAUUUUGAACCGCAUGGUUCGAAAUUGAGAGGCGGCUUCGGCUGUCACUUAUGGAUGGACCCGCGUCGCAUUAGCUAGUUGGUGAGGUAACGGCUCACCAAGGCAACGAUGCGUAGCCGACCUGAGAGGGUGAUCGGCCACACUGGGACUGAGACACGGCCCAGACUCCUACGGGAGGCAGCAGUAGGGAAUCUUCCGCAAUGGACGAAAGUCUGACGGAGCAACGCCGCGUGAGCGAUGAAGGCUUUCGGGUCGUAAAACUCUGUUGUUAGGGAAGAACAAGUGCUAGUUGAAUAAGCUGGCACCUUGACGGUACCUAACCAGAAAGCCACGGCUAACUACGUGCCAGCCGCCGUAAAAC